GGUAGUGUGGCCAGGUGGUCUAAGGCGCUGGAUUUAGGUUCCAGUCUCUCUUGAGUCGUGGGUUCGAAUGCCACCGCUACCA